GACGAACGCUGGCGGCGUGCCUAAUACAUGCGAGUAGAACGCACAGUUUAUACCGUAGCUUGCUACACCAUAAACUGUGAGUUGCGAACGGGUGAGUAACGCGUAGGUAACCUGCCUGGUAGCGGGGGAUAACUAUUGGAAACGAUAGCUAAUACCGCAUAAUAUUGAUUAUUGCAUGAUAAUUGAUUGAAAGAUGCUAUUGCAUCACUACCAGAUGGACCUGCGUUGUAUUAGCUAGUAGGUGAGGUAACGGCUCACCUAGGCGACGAUACAUAGCCGACCUGAGAGGGUGAUCGGCCACACUGGGACUGAGACACGGCCCAGACUCCUACGGGAGGCAGCAGUAGGGUAUCUUCGGCAAUGGACGAAAGUCUGACCGAGCAACGCCGCGUGAGUGAAGAAGGUUUUCGGAUCGUAAAGCUCUGUUGUAAGAGAAGAACGGGUGUGAGAGUGGAAAGUUCACACUGUGACGGUAUCUUACCAGAAAGGGACGGCUAACUACGUG
rnacentral:rRNA from 1 species